GCCUUCUGAUGCCCUGGGAGAACAGAGCUACUAAAGAAUGUGUAAAGAGAAGAUAAUGUAACAAACAGAAAAGAGAAUGUGUAAAGAGGUGAUAAUGUAACAAACAGAAAAGAGAAUGUCUGCAUUAGAAGAACUUGGCCAAACUGACAAGAUGUAUUGUCGGAACUGAUGUCCAGAAACCUCAGGUCUUCAGAUGUUCCCCAGUGGCAGGCCAAACCAAAUGAAUUGAAGCCUGCUGGAGAGAUGGCUCAGCAGUUAAGAGCACGGACUGCUCUCGCAGAGGAUCCAAGUUCAAUUCCCAGCACCCAUGUGGCUGCUUACAAUGGUCUUAACUUCAAAAUCUGAUAACUUCACACAGACAUACAUGCAGGCAUAGUAUCAAUGCACAUAAAAUAAAAAUAAAUACAUUAAAAAAGAGGUAUAUGUUUUCAGAGUCAGGCUUGUUGCUUACACUUUUAAAAGCUGUCUCUGGUUUCCAUCCUGUCCACCCUACAUGUCUACUCAUGUGUUCCUUUAAGCCUCAUGUGUUAUCAAUGGUU